rnacentral:lncRNA from 1 species
CGCCGGGGCCCUGCGCGGGGAGCGAAGGCGGCCGCCGGCGCCGCGGGGCGGCAGCCUGGAGGGGCUGUGGUGACGCGGGUUUGGUGCUUCGGCUUUAGCGAAAGUUAUAAUCCAUCGCCGAUUGAAAACGUCUCAAAUACGCGUGUGAAACAUCUAGUUACCUUUGUAUGUGGUGUUUUAGGGAGUCAGUAUGGUCUUUUUGAGCUUACAUUUAUAGCCCUUGUGGUGGGCCGGUGCAGUUCUGCCCCUUUCGUGGGAAAAAAGGAGCAAACAACGCAUCCCGCUUCAUGGUGAAAAGCAGUGUUUCUGUGCUUCAUUGGCUUCCGUUUGUGUUUAGUUUGUGCCUCGGAAAGCUGGUGGGUCGUAACUGCCUGCUCAAAUCCGGACCCUCGUCAAAGGGCUCGCCGCAGAGAGGUGUUAAUAGAAGUCCUCGUCGACCACUCCCUGAACGGUUAGCGAAGCCAGGCCCGAAGGAUCUGGAGAUACCUUCCCGUUGA